GAUGAACGCUGGCGGCGUGCUUAACACAUGCAAGUCGAACGAUGAAGCCCAGCUUGCUGGGUGGAUUAGUGGCGAACGGGUGAGUAACACGUGAGUAACCUGCCCUUGACUCUGGGAUAAGCGCUGGAAACGGCGUCUAAUACCGGAUACGAGCUUCCACAGCAUGGUGAGUUGCUGGAAAGAAUUUCGGUCAAGGAUGGACUCGCGGCCUAUCAGGUAGUUGGUGAGGUAACGGCUAACAAAGCCGACGACGGGUAGCCGGCCUGAGAGGGUGACCGGCAACACUGGGACUGAGACACGGCCCAGACUCCUACGGGAGGCAGCAGUGGGGAAUAUUGCACAAUGGGCGCAAGCCUGAUGCAGCAACGCCGCGUGAGGGACGAAGGCCUUCGGGUCGUAAACCUCUUUUAGCAGGGAAGAAGCGAAAGUGACGGUACCUGCAGAAAAAGCACCGGCUAACUACGUG
rnacentral:rRNA from 1 species